UACGUAUGGUGCAAACGUUGUUCGGAAUCACUGGGCAUAAAGAGCACGUAGGCGGUCUAGUAAGUCUGAUGUGAAAUCCCUCGGCUUAACCGAGGAACUGCAUCGGAUACUGCUGGACUCGAGUGCAGGAGGGGAGAGUGGAAUUCCUGGUGGAGCGGUGAAAUGCGUAGAUAUCAGGAGGAACGCCGGUGGCGAAAGCGACUCUCUGGCCUGUUACUGACGCUGAGGUGCGAAAGCCAGGGGAGCAAACGGG
rnacentral:misc_RNA from 1 species